rnacentral:rRNA from 1 species
AUACGAAGGGUGCAAGCGUUAAUCGGAAUUACUGGGCGUAAAGCGCGCGUAGGUGGUUUUGUAAGUUGGAGGUGAAAGCCCCGGGCUCAACCUGGGAAUUGCCUCCAAAACUGCAUGACUAGAGUACGGUAGAGGGUAGUGGAAUUUCCUGUGUAGCGGUGAAAUGCGUAGAUAUAGGAAGGAACACCAGUGGCGAAGGCGACUACAUGGACUGAUACUGACACUGAGGUGCGAAAGCGUGGGGAGCAAACAGGAUGAGAUACCCUGGUAGUCCACGCCGUAAACGAUGUCAACUAGCCGUUGGGAUCCUUGAGAUCUUAGUGGCGCAGCUAACGCAUUAAGUUGACCGCCUGGGGAGUACGGCCGCAAGGUUAAAACUCAAAUGAAUUGACGGGG